CCUACGGGAGGCAGCAGUGAGGAAUAUUGGUCAAUGGGCGCUAGUCUGAACCAGCCAAGUAGCGUGAAGGAUGACUGCCCUAUGGGUUGUCAACUUCUUUUAUAUGGGAAUAAAGUGCAGUAUGUAUACUGCUUUUCAUGUACCUUAUGAAUAAGGAUCGGCUAACUCCGUGCCAGCAGCCGCGGUAAUACGGAGGAUCCGAGCGUUAUCCGGAUUUAUUGGGUUUAAAGGGAGCGUAGGCGGGUUGUUAAGUCAGUUGUGAAAGUUUGCGGCUUAACCGUAAAAUUGCAGUUGAUACUGGCAUCCUUGAGUACAGUAGAGGUAGGCGGAAUGCGUGGUGUAGCGGUGAAAUGCUUAGAUAUCACGAAGAACUCCGAUUGCGAAGGCAGCCUGCUGGACUGUAACUGACGCUGAUGCUCGAAAGUGUGGGUAUCAAACAGGAUUAGAUACCCUUGUAGUC
rnacentral:rRNA from 1 species